rnacentral:rRNA from 1 species
GGAGUUAGCCGGUGCUUCUUCUGCGAGUAACGUCACAGAUGUAAGGUAUUAACUUACACCCUUUCCUCCUCGCUGAAAGUGCUUUACAACCCGAAGGCCUUCUUCACACACGCGGCAUGGCUGCAUCAGGGUUUCCCCCAUUGUGCAAUAUUCCCCACUGCUGCCUCCCGUAGGAGUCUGGGCCGUGUCUCAGUCCCAGUGUGGCUGAUCAUCCUCUCAGACCAGCUAGGGAUCGUCGCCUAGGUGAGCCUUUACCUCACCUACUAGCUAAUCCCACCUGGGCUUAUCCAUCAGCGCAAGGCCCGAAGGUCCCCUGCUUUCCCCCGUAGGGCGUAUGCGGUAUUAGCAGUCGUUUCCAACUGUUAUCUCCCACAAAUGGGCAAAUUCCCAGGCAUUACUCACCCGUCCGCCGCUCGUCAUCUUCAAAAGCAAGCUUUUGAAAUGUUACCGCUCGACUUGCAUGUGUUAGGCCUGCCGCCAGCGUUCAAUCUGAGCCAUGAUCAAACUCUGA